UUGCACUGUAAUUGUUUUUCCAAGGCACCAGAUCCCAUCUGAUCUUGAAAGCUAAGAAGGAUCAACUCUGGAUUGUACUUGUAUGGAGACUGGCAAUGGAUGCUGUAGGUUCUGUUUCAG
rnacentral:rRNA from 11 species